AUCCAGCUGACGAGUCCCAAAUAGAACGAAACGCGCGUCAAACUCAAU
rfam:Schistosoma mansoni, Puerto Rico, WGS project CABG01000000 data, contig: 0080